GACGAACGCUGGCGGCGUGCUUAAUACAUGCAAGUCGAACGGAAAGGCCUCUUUCGGGGGGUACUCGAGUGGCGAACGGGUGAGUAACACGUGAGUAACCUGCCCUUGACCUUGGGAUAACUUCAGGAAACUGGGGCUAAUAUCGGAUAGGCGCUCCUGCUGCAUGGUGGGGGUUGGUAAGUUUGGGCGGUUGGGGAUGGACUCGCGGCCUAUCAGCUUGUUGGUGGGGUAGUGGCUUACCAAGGCCUUGACGGGUAGCCGGCCUGAGAGGGUGACCGGGCACAGUGGGACUGGGAUACGGCCCCGACUCCUACGGGAGGCAGCAGUAGGGAAUACUGCACAAUGGGUGGAAGCCUGAGGCAGCAACGCCAUCGGCGGGAGGACGGCCUUCGGGUUGGAAACCGCAUUCGCUCAUGACGAAGCUUUGUGUGACGGUAGUGGGUAAAGAAGCACCGGCUAACUACGUG
rnacentral:rRNA from 1 species